CUCCGCUCUGUCGAAGGGGCGCGCCUCUGCCCGGCCACCUAUUGGCCGCCUGGUUAAUAAGCAUCCUGAGGCGCUGAUGAUUCCAGCCUAACCUGGAUCCUCGCGAGCCGGCGGAGACCCGAUGCUUGCCUGUGUGGGUGCGGAGGCGGGGAAGGCCAAUUGGACACCUGCUUUCUUCUCUUUCUUCCAGACCCAGAAUUCUUGGGAAGACUGCGCGCGUUGGAAGAGGGCCGGGAGGGGACGUGGUGGUGGCCAAGAGGAAAGGAACAGAGCUGACACCAGAAUCUAGACUGGAGAGUUUAGAAGAAAUUCGAAACUCCUCCGACUCCCGUCCCGCACCCCAUCUUGGCCCCUCCCUGCUACGUAGGGUGGGCGGGUUUUCUCAGCGUCCUCAGUCACAGCGCUCCUGGUGCAAAUGAAAACCCAGUCAGGUAGCAGGCAAGAUUCCUGCCCUCCCCCGCUGGGCCCCUCCUGUUUCCUCUCCACGCACCCUCUUCCCUUUCUCCCUCCUUUUUCUUUUUAGUUAUUUAUUUUAGAACCUUUUUUUUUUUUUUUGCUGAGUGUUUCUUUCUAGACUCUUGUUUGGCACCAAAAUAACUCAAACCAU